CCGGCGACCGGCGCACGGGUGAGUAACACGUAUGCAACCUGCCCUCUUCAGGGGGACAACCUUCCGAAAGGGAGGCUAAUCCCGCGUAUAUCGGUUUCGGGCAUCCGAGAUCGAGGAAAGAUUCAUCGGAGGAGGAUGGGCAUGCGGCGCAUUAGCUAGACGGCGGGGUAACGGCCCACCGUGGCGACGAUGCGUAGGGGUUCUGAGAGGAAGGUCCCCCACACUGGUACUGAGACACGGACCAGACUCCUACGGGAGGCAGCAG
rnacentral:rRNA from 1 species